rnacentral:rRNA from 1 species
UACGGAGGAGGCAAGCGUUAUCCGGAAUUAUUGGGCGUAAAGCGUCCGUAGGUGGUUUAUCAAGUCUGCUGUUAAAGCGCGGGGCUUAACUCCGUAUCGGCGGUGGAAACUGAUAGGCUAGAGUGCGGUAGGGGUUGCGGGAAUUCCCAGUGUAGCGGUGAAAUGCGUAGAUAUUGGGAAGAACACCAGCGGCGAAAGCGCGCGACUGGACUGCAACUGACACUGAUGGACGAAAGCUAGGGGAGCGAAAGGG